rnacentral:rRNA from 1 species
GUCGAUUUGGAGGUUGUGCCCUUGAGGCGUGGCUUCCGGAGCUAACGCGUUAAAUCGACCGCCUGGGGAGUACGGCCGCAAGGUUAAAACUCAAAUGAAUUGACGGGGGCCCGCACAAGCGGUGGAGCAUGUGGUUUAAUUCGAUGCAACGCGAAGAACCUUACCUACUCUUGACAUCCAGAGAACUUUCCAGAGAUGGAUUGGUGCCUUCGGGAACUCUGAGACAGGUGCUGCAUGGCUGUCGUCAGCUCGUGUUGUGAAAUGUUGGGUUAAGUCCCGCAACGAGCGCAACCCUUAUCCUUUGUUGCCAGCGGUUCGGCCGGGAACUCAAAGGAGACUGCCAGUGAUAAACUGGAGGAAGGUGGGGAUGACGUCAAGUCAUCAUGGCCCUUACGAGUAGGGCUACACACGUGCUACAAUGGCAUAUACAAAGAGAAGCGACCUCGCGAGAGCAAGCGGACCUCAUAAAGUAUGUCGUAGUCCGGAUUGGAGUCUGCAACUCGACUCCAUGAAGUCGGAAUCGCUAGUAAUCGUAGAUCAGAAUGCUACGGUGAAUACGUUCCCGGGCCUUGUACACACCGCCCGUCACACCAUGGGAGUGGGUUGCAAAAGAAGUAGGUAGCUUAACCUUCGGGAGGGCGCUUACCACUUUGUGAUUCAUGACUGGGGUGAAGUCGUAACAAGGUAACCGUAGGGGAACCUGC